CGCCAUAGAGAGCGACCCGCGGGGUAGAGCGUCUGCAGCCAUAGAGGUGGUAAGGGAUGAGUAGUCCGAGACGGUAGCACGGACUGGAACAGCACCGCCUCUACGGGAGCGGGGCAAAGGGCGGCCCGCACUGGGCGGCGGCAGAAAACACCACCAAGCACCAACCCAGCGGGGAUAAAGAGCUGGGAGGCCCUCGGAUAGAGCGCCGCACGCACCAUAGAGAUCUGAGGAGGCAGCUAGAGCGCCACACGCAGCAUAAGGACCUGGGUGUCCCCAGAGCGCGGAGGCGGCGAAGAGCCUCCGCGCAUAGAGCCUGUCUCCGGGGGGCAGACGAUGAGCGGCGCUACUAGGAACGCGAAGUGGAGCUUUACGGCUGUAAUCGUAAGAGCAUUCCGGGGGAAUACCAUAGAGAGGCCCUCCGUAGCCUAGAACGCCGCGGGGCGUGGUUGGGGGGGCGGGGGUGGUACUGCGAGAAGGCGGCGCAUGCGCUCUGGGCCGGCGGCGGGAGGGCUGUGGUGCUGGUGGUUGCGGGACCGGGAGCGGGACCGGGAGCAGGGCCGUGCGCGGGCAGACGCGACCUUCUGCGGUAUAAAAUGCUGAUUUUCAUCUAAAGGCGGCGGAACCAGGCGAGCAGAGGGUUCGCCCGAUGGAGCCCGCACCUCUCGGGCUGUGUUCCUGGGGGCAUCGCGCAGCCGGAACCGCUGGGGACACCGCGGGGUUCCCUGGCCAGCAGCUCCUGGCACGGACGCUACGGGAUCCUCUUCAACACGAAGUGUCUUCAGGGCAGGAUGGUGGGACCGAGUUGUGUUUGGACACAGAUCCAGAGGGAUCCAAAAGCGGGAGCGUGCUGGCGGCACUGGGGAUGGAAUCCCAGGGACAGAAUCCCAGAAUGUCAGGAGUUGAAGGGCCCUGGAAAGCUCAUCCAGUGCAAUCCCCCCAUGGAGCAGGAACACCCAGAUGAGGUUACACAGGAAGGUGUCCAGGCGGGUUGGAAUGUCUGCACAGAAGGAGACUCCACAACCUCCCUGGGCAGCCUGGGCCAGGCUCUGCCACCCUCACUGGGAACAAGUUUCUUCUCAAAUUGAAGUGGAACCUCCUGUGUUCCAGUUUGCACCCAUUGCCCCUUGUCCUGUCACUGGUUGUCACCAGAAGAGCCUGGCUCCAUCCUCAUGACACUCCCCCUUUCCAUAUUGAUCCCCAUGAAUGAGUCCCCCCUCAGUCUCCUCUUGUCCAGCUCCAGAGCCCCAGCUCCCUCAGCCUUUCCUCACACGGGAGAUGCUCCACUCCCUUCAGCAUCUUGGUGGCUGCGCUGGACUCUCUCCAGCAGUUCCCUGUCCUGCUGGAACUGAGGGGCCACAACUGGACACAAUAUUCCAGGUGUGGUCUCCCCAGGGCAGAGCAGAGGGGCAGGAGAACCUCUCUGACCUACUGACCACCCCCUUCUAACCCACCCCAGGUACCAUUGGCUUCCUGGCCACAAGGGCCCAGUGCUGGCUCAUGGUCACCCUGCUGUCCCCAGGGCCCCCAGGUCCCUUUCCCCUACACUGCUCUCCAACAGGUAAUUCCCCAACAUGUACUGGAACCUGGGGACAUGCGGCUGGAAGGCGGGGUGAGGAUACAGGACACAUGGUGGCACUGGAGCUCUGAAGUUUCGUUACACACGGGCAGCUUUAACUGGUCAGUCAUGUGCUUACACAUGACAUUUCUGUUUCUGCAGAGGAGUGGAGCGCCCUCCCCCUGCACCCCCCUCAUUGUCUGCUCAGCAGUUGACCCUGCCUGAUUGGUGGUGCUGACGAGAAGCCCCUGCAGACCCAGUUUCUUCUGCAGUGGGUCUGAGGUCUCUGGCCUGUAGGGUGUACCAGGAUGUCCCUGUCAGCUGAGGACAAGCUCUGGGGAUGGCAGAACCUCCUGAAGUGAGCUAACCCAGCUGCUGCCCAGCACAUGAGGCAUCUUCUGAGCGGUGCUGAGCCCUGGUGUCCUCAGAGGUGCUGCAGGUGUGGGUCUCUCAGGGACAGGGCCACAGCCCUGGCAGGUGGCUGCACUGUCUCAUGCUGGAGUUGGGGCAGGAUGAGUCUCAGUUGUGCCUCCUGGUACUGGGGUGGACAAAUCCUCCCAACAAAGCACACAGCGCUUUUCCCUAGUGUGGUAUAUAUGCCGUGCCAUAUUUUCCAUGCUCAGUUUUCCAAAUUCCACAUCUGGAAUCUUGUGUCCAGUUGUGGCCCCUCAGUUCCAGCAGGACAGGGAACUGCUGGAGAGAGUCCAGCGCAGCCACCAAGAUGCUGAAGGGAGUGGAGCAUCUCCCGUGUGAGGAAAGGCUGAGGGAGCUGGGGCUCUUCAGGUUGGAGGAGACUGAGGGGUGACCUCAUUAAUGUUUACAGAUAUAUAAAGGGUGAGUGUCAGGAGGAGGAUGGAGCCAGGCUCGUCUCGGUGACAACCAGCAAUAGGACAAGGGGCAACAGGUGCAAAGUGGAACGCAAGAGGUUCCACUUAAAUUUGAGAAGAAAUUUCUUCUCAGUGAGGGUGACAGAACACUGGCCCAGGCUGCCCAGGGAGGUUGUGGAGUCUCCUUCUCUGCAGACAUUCCAACCCGCCUGGACACCUUCCUGUGUAACCUCAUCUGGGUGUUCCUGCUCCAUGGGGGGAUUGCACUGGAUGAGUUUCCAGGGCCCUUCCAACUCCUGACAUUCUGGGAUUCUUUGUGAAAAUUCAGGCCUUUUGAGUCCUUCCAGUCUACCUGCUGUCACGCUCCUGGGUGCACUGGACUGGCAGGAGGCAGGUCAGCCACUUGCUGUGAUUGCAGCGAGGGGACGUGGUGCCGCGUCACUGCAGCUUUCUAUUUUCCAAGAGUGUUUUUCAGGAAAGGGAUGGGGGUGGUGCCUGGAACAGGCAGAGGAGCUGAGGGGGAUCUGCUGCUUCCCAAAAACUCAGUCCAGCUCCCAGGGGAUAUAAACAAGUUAGUCACUUCAUGAGCUCACAGCAGAGGCAUCUCAGCCUCCAUGAGAAUUUGUCACAGGCCCUUCCUGGGCUGCCAGGGUGCGAGUGUGCCCUGGUGUCAGCUCCCGAGGGGAGGCAGUGGCUAUGGGUGGUGGGUGGUCCCAUCUCCUCAUGCUCGGGCAGUGCCUGUCACCCAUCCCCUGGUUGUGGGGCAGGCGGUGCCGCAGCCCCAGCCCCCUAGGAGCUGCAUUUGCCAGCUGCUGGUUCCCCCAAGUGCCCGGUGCUUCUGACAGGCACCUGCUGCUUGUCCCCGGCACGGGGGAUCUCGUGUGCUGGGAAAGAGAGUGCCUGGGAGCUCCUGGGGAUUUCCCAGGGAGAGCUGGGACCUGGGAAUUUUCUGCCCCCCGCUUCUCCGCUUCUUCCUCCAGCAGCGGCUCUCACUCACAUGCUACUCCCGGGGUCACAAACCGUUUUUAAAAAAAGCAACAUCCCACACAAUGCUCUUCCCUAACGGGUGCUGGUGACGAGGUACCGCAUCCGGCCUGGGGGACACAGAAUUAGCCCUCAGCCUGGGAACGGCCCUGCCAGUCCCUGCCGGCAGCCCCAGCACCACCGAGGUCAUCGUCGCGUGUAGAGGAAAGUGACUCCGCAUCCUACAGAUGCAUCCUCUGCUGGGCUCACUCGUUCCCUUCUGAGGGGUCGUGCAAGAAAUCGGGCUCUUUCCCGCUCACGGGAUUUCUCGGAGGUUGCGGUGCUGGUGUUGCGUGGUGCUUUCUGUGACGCACAGGCCACGCGCGGGUCUCUCUCUACACGUGGCUUCUGCCCUGGUAAAAAUUGGGAGAUAUUUCCUCAGGUCAGGACAGAGAAUUUGCAUUUUACAGGAAAUGCAGCAAUUUCCCCAAGAGCGGCAAGAACAAAGGGUGGCCGAGCAGAUAGAUGAUAUUCCUGGAAAUGGUUCGUAGGAUAAAAAUUCUGAAAAAUGUCAGCGUGGGUGUAGGAACCAUUUCAUUUUGAUGCACAUCCAGCCCAACCUGAGUGUCAUUGUCUGGCCCAACUCAACCCAAUAAAAUCUGAACAGCACAGCUCAAGAUAACCCGGGUGAUGCAACCAAACCCACCUCAACCCAGCUUGAGUGACCCAACAUAACCCAAACCAACACAAAUGACCCAACACAACCCAAUGUGAAUGACACAACCCAACCCAAUGUGAAGUGAUAGGAUGAGAGGAAAUGGCCUCAAACUGCACCAGGGGAGGUUGAGAUUGGAUAUUGGGAGCAAUUUCUUCCUGGAAAGGGCUGUGGGGCAUUGGAACAGGUUGCCCAGGGCAGUGGUGGAGUCACCGUCCCUGGAGGGCUGAACAGAUGCGGAGAUGAGGUUCUUAGGAAUGUGGUUUAGUGGUGGACUUGGAUGUGCUGGGUUAAUGGCUGGACUUGAUAAUCCUAAAGGUCUUUUCCAGCCUAAGUGAUUCUAAGAUUUGAAGUGAAAUGACACAACCCAACACAAAUGACUCCACCGAGCCUUAAUGACACAACCCAAUGUGAAUGAUACAACCUGUCUCAACUCAACCCAACCAAACCCAUCAUGGAUGACACAGCACAGCAAGGCUGGAGGAAAAUCCAGAAGGCAAAGGAGAGAUGAGUCCAUGGACUGGAGCUGGCUGGUCCUGACCUACCCCUGCUGCAAGGCUGUUGUAAUGAAACACAAAGAGCAAAACAACCUCGGUCCACCAGGACUUCCCCUCUAAACAGGUAAUGAAGUGGUGAAACAUGGCUGAGCAUUUGGGACCUGAGGGACCAGGGGGAUUUUCUGGUGUCUAGUAAGGGGCUGAGCUUCUCUGCUCCUCUUAACUUCUCUCCUUUCAUGACACUUAAUAGGACUAAAGUCACCUCUGGACAUCUCUCUCUUAUGGUGAUGUUGGUCAGUGAUUUCAAGAGGCCUGAGGCACACAGCCCAGCAGGAAAACCCGGAGCACACAGCCAUGUUAAGAAAACGAGCUAAAAACCGAAGCAAAGCCCCUGCUGCGGCGUGCGGCCGCCUGUGCAGCGCUUGAUCCAAGGGCUGUCGGAGCUGAGGGACAAGUGCUGGGUCCCGCCGGGCGCAGUGUUGAGCUGCCCCCACGGCCGCUCCUCCAUCUCCAGCUUCGCUGCUCCAGCAUUGCUUCUCCCUGAGGACAAGCUCCCACUCCCAAAAAUGCAUCACGUCCCCAUAGAAACACAAAUGCUUAUUUAUUUGACUUGUUUCAGUAUUUGGUAUUUAAUUUAAUUCCCCCCCCGCCUCCCUCUCUCUCUCUGUUUUUUUUUUCCAGUUGUUCGAAGGAAGGAAGGAAGCCCAAACUCAGAUGUUUGUUUGUUCUGUCCUGGCUGAUGUUCCCUUGGUCACGCUCCAGUGGCUGAUAAACUGGCAGGGAACCGGAUCGUGGAGCACGGCGGAGCCUGGGAAAGGCCGGGACCUUGCUUCCCCGCCCUUACAUCAUGGUUUCUCUCCGAUUAGCUUGGCCAGGGAGGCUGUGUACUGCCAGCUGCCUUCGCUCUCUCCACUCCACCUCCGGCAGGCCCCUUCAUCACCAGCUGGCAGGACAGCUCUUGGUGGGAUGUCUGAAACAAGAGCAUCUCCCCACCAUCCAGGUUCCCUCCACCCUGUCCUGGUGGCAUCUGCUGAGCCCCUGACCCACGGUGUGUCUGGGACCCAUGGGUCACCCCUGGCUGUGGGACCGUGGAAGGGGAGAGCCCACAAGGGAUCUGGGCUGGGGUGUGAGCUGCGCUCAUCUCACAGACCUUCACCCUCUUCAUCCAGGCAGAUCCCACCCAAGCACGGGCACUCGGUGGUGUCCAAGGCCAUUACAGACCCCAGACAGAGGAGGGGGGAUGCGUGUGGGUCUGAGCAACCAGCCAGGACCUCAUCCCGCAGCUCCUGACAUGAGCCAUGAGGUUGGAAAGUCUCCCUCUGAGCUGGAAUAUGUGCCCAACGUGGCUCCUAAGAGGCAAAUAUUUACAAGGUAUUGAAUAUGUGCCACGGGUGAGCGAUGGGUGGGGGAGCUGGAGGCUUUGUGGUCCUCUCACUCCCUGUUGAGGGCAGGGACGUGGUUCAAGGGAAAGAGGAAUAUGCAAAAGGGGCUCGAUCAGCUCAGGAAACUUCCAAAGCUCCUCUGGGAAGAGCCUCUGCCCAGGGAUGUUGGGGUGGCUCUGGGAGAGGUGAAACCUUGCCUCGUCCUGCAGGAUCCCUGGGGUCGGAGACGCUUUUGGGUGGGCUCAGGAGAUGGGUCCCUGGGACCCCAGCAGGAUAGAGGAAGGUGCUGGAGAUACUGCAGGGAGAAGUGUGGUGGAAAACACUGGAGCGAGAAGGCAACAGGAGGUUGUGUCUCUGCUAUAAAUUGAGUGUUUGCUUUCAGUGGUCUUUUCUUUGCCGCAGUGCAGGACACCCUGAAGAUGCCCUUUGGGUGCUUUGGGUGUUGCCUCCUUAGGGAAGGGCAGUAGGAAAUGUGGGUGUCCCUCCCCACCACCCAGAUCGUGCUGGUGUCCUCACUCAGGACACUUGAACUCUCAGCCAAGGCAAUGCAGGUGUCUCCCAAACCUCCUGCUUUGUGCCCCACAUCCCAGCAGCUCAUCUGCCUCUUGGUCCCCUACCAUGGAACAGUUUUUCCCUGGGCUCCCGGUAAAUUCCCUCCUUUGUUUCAGCAUCUCAGUGCCCUGGGAAAGCUGAAAACAGUCACUCGAAUGAUGCAGAGCACCACUGUGAGCAUCUGAGUCCAGCAAGGAGACAGGAGGGGCUGGGGAGGAGGGUCUCUCUCUGCCCAGCCUUCGGCACAACGUCCCCUGCCCCUUCCAUGGUGUCCCCAGUGUGGGGUUCUUUCCUGGGGAUGCUCUGGGGGGUCCCCAGGCUCUGUACAAGGCCAGGUGACCCCCAGCACCAUACGGUGCAGCAGCUACUGCGCUGGCUUGCUGCCUGCUGGCCCAGGCACUCAUUCCAGCGGAUAAUAUAUAGCUUUGAUGCUGCUAAUUGGAGCUCUUUCCCUACACUUCCUCCUUUCAAUCUUCCUCUGCCCUCGGCUCUGCAGGGUCAAUAAGCGAUUCGCAUUAAAGCCGAGUCUGUGUUGAUUCCCGUGUGUCUACGGCAGCCGGGUCUCUGCCGGGGGGCUGGGAGGAGGGGGCUGCGUCAGCAGGAUGAGUCCUCCAGACCCUCCAGGGAUGGGAGACAAAUCCUUCCAGGUCUUCUCCAUCCAAACCUUCUCCUGCCACACAGCUCUGCUGCCUUUCCCUGAGCCCCUGGGGUCCUCCUGCUCCUUCUCUGUCUCCUCUCCUCCCCUGAGCCCCUGCCUCUCCUCUGGCCGAUCCCUCGCCUCAGGCUGGCCAUCAGCAGACAGCUGCUAUCGAUUUUCCUGGUUCAGCAAAACCCAGCAGUGAGGGGAGUGCGAGCCCGAGCCAGGCAGAGGUGACACAUAUGAUGGCAGCGCUGUCACAUCUGCAGGCCGGGUGUGAGGGUGAUGUGGGAGCUGGCUGGGGAGAGCUGCCACGGUCCCCCAGGUGCCUGCCAGUGCUGUGUCUGAUUUUCUGGGAGAUGUGGGUGGCUCUUCCUCCCCUGUGCCCUGAGCAGCCCUGGUUCAUGAAAUCCAGUGGUGGGGAAAAGCGGGUUCCCCAUGGGACCCUUCUGGAAACCCUUCAGUGGGGAAGCAGGAAAUCCUCAGCCCUCGCUGUGUUGGGGAUGAGCAGUCCUUUGGUGUCUCCAAACAGACCCAUGUGCUUUCCCCAUGAUUUUCUCAAGCCCAUUCCCAGCUGAAAUCCUACACAUCCCCCUGAGCUUUCUGGGGACACCAGCAGUGGGGGAGAAGCUACGUCCAACAGUGUGGCUGGAUCAUAACCCUCCUUGUGAUGACCCCAGGCGAAGAUGCUUUGAUUGUGGUGUCCUGGAGAGCAGCAGCCAACCUCCUCCUCUGGCUGUGCCCUGGGGAUCUUCCGCAUCUCCCAUAGCAUGGGAGCAGGAAGAAUCCUUCCCAAAUUACUGCAGGCUGAGGAUAAGCCGUUGCACCUAUCGGAAGUGCUAAACUGUGUCAGGAACCACAAAACAACUUAAUUUCCUGAUUUCCACAAACAUAUUCUUGGUAAUGUCCUCCAGAAAGGGAGGAGUGGACCAGUGUGGGCAGAGACACGUCCUUCCUUUGAACUAUAUUGCCUGUGUGUUGUGGAGCAGCAGGUCCUCUCCCAGGCUGCUGUCACACCCUCCUCUCAUGGAAAAUAAUAAAAUCUUCAGCCUCUCAUUACCCUGUAGGAAAACUUCCAGCCUCGCAUCACCCCCACCCUGGGAAAUGGGGUGUCCCUGGAGGGACAGACACCCCAGGUGCUGGUGCAGGGACGGGGCAGCAUCUGCGCUGUCUCAUGUCCCUCCACAGAGAUGGGGAAGGUGAGCCUUUACACAGCCAAAGUUUGCCCUCCUGUGCCAGGAUGCUGCCCCACAGCAGAUAUUUGGGGAGGAUGGGGAUUGGUGAGUGGGAGAAGGUGGGAUGAGUCAGGUGGAGCCACACAGAAACCAAGCCGGUUAAUCCAGGGCCUCAGUGGCUCCGUGUGUCCGAGCUGAGAGUUGGAGCCCUACUAGGAGCCAUGUCCCAUGUCCCCAGCUCUGCCUCAUGGAUCCUGCGCAGGCUCCCAAGCAUCAUCCCUGUGCCUGAUCCAUUGCACUGGCGGCUCAGCCUGUGGCUCCUUUCCCAGCCUGUGGGGACCCUGAGGGGACACCGCCUUGAGCAGAGCUCUGCAGCUCAAACUGCCCAACAAAACACUGUGGUCUCCUUGCAAGGUGUCCAGCUCUGCUGGAUGUGGUCCCUGAGCAAGGGUCAGCCCAAUGCUACCCACCUCUGAGGAAGGAGACGAGAGUGGUGACACGUAGAGGUCCCAGAGCAAGGGCAGCUCUGCCCACACUGAAGGCAGCAUGACUGCGGAGAGCUGCCUGCUAACUGUCCCCCUCUGCUCUGUCCCGCUCGGGACAUCCCUGGCCUCACCCCCUCUGCUCCCUCCACCACCCCAGGGAUACCCUUCACCCCAAGGCCACUGCUUUGGCUGCUGCACAGCCCCUUUCCCCAUCCGUCCCAACUUUCCCACCGCCUGCAGCGGGGCCUGGCCCUGCCCCAGCCUUUCCAUGGCCCCUUGGGUCUGGCUUGGAGCGGAGGAAUGUGCCUCUCCAAGCCCAGGGUCUCUUUGUCCUAAUAAGUGGCCCUGGGGGGGUGGGUCUUGGUGUCAGGGGCGCUUGGCACAAGGACAGACAGUGUGGUUGUCCCCACCCAGGCAAACCUUUGUGCUCAGCCCGCCCUGGUGACACAGCACAGAGCAGCAGCAUCCCUGGGGAUCAUCCAUGGACUGCCAGGACCUGCCCACCUGCUCAGGGAAGCCUUGGGAACAGCUGGGGCAGUGCUCAGCCCUGUAUGGGUAUCUUCCUCCUCCCCUUUCCCAGCUCAUUCAGGGGUUUUAAGCAUUUUGCUGCUCCCUGUCACCAGCUCUGGGGCUGCCGAGGAGGGGGGGCAUGGUGCUGGGGUUCACAUUGGUGCCAGUGUGCAACCCUGGCAACAACACCCCUCCUUGUUGUGUGCUCAGCCCCCCUUUCCUCCUGGUUGUGGGUCCCACCACACCAAGUCCUAGUGGGUGGGAUCUGCAGCCGGACAAGCUCCAGUCACUGCGGAAAUGUGGGGUUUUUUUGGGGGGUGUUACUGGUGGGGGCCUGAAACCUGUCUUGGAAGAUGCUUCUACUGGGAACCACAGUGAAGGAUGGAUGAGCUGGGUUUGCAAGACCCUGGAGCAGAGCACCAGUUCACUAUGGGUCUGACCAUCACCCUCUCCACUUCUCUGGCUGCAGACGGGCUCAGUUUAGGGACAGCAGGGGAAAUCUGUCCCCUGCUGUGCUGGAAGUGGCGACAGGCCACCUUUCUGGCUCAACUUGGAGACCUUCAACCUCCAAGGUGUUGCCUGCACCUCAGGGCCUUCCUUAUAGGGUUUGAGCACCUUCUGCUGUGCCAUGUCCAACGGGUCAUGUCCGGGGGAUUUUUGGGGCUCACACCAGAGCAGGUGUGAGGAGGUGGGAAGGUGGGGAGGUGGGAAACGGGCUGUGUUGUGAGUCAGUGGGAGACAGGGUGUCAGGGGAUCAUGGCCAUGGGGCAGAGCCUCUCCAUCUCGGCAGAGGAAGGCAAGGAGGGGAGAGAAGGUCAGCAAAGUUUUUGUCUGGCCCAAAAGCGCUUAGGCAGGAGCGUCCGAGCCUCCACAUAACCACUGUUAUUUAAUUUAUUUUUUCUAAAUAAAAAAAAAGGAAGGAAGUUAAUAAAUAAUGUAAAGUGGAGAAUGCAUUAAUGAAAGAGAGCGAUGGAGAGAGAGGAAAAGAGAGGAAGGGACAGGGCAGAGUGAGAGCACGGAGGAGGGGGAGAGAGAUAUUCCUGCCUGUAUCGAUUGGAUAUGAUUACAUUAGAUCUAUCAAAUAUUCAUACUACAUUCCACAAGAGGUCAUUGUGUGUGUUUUUCCAAUUUAGCUCUGCCUUGGCACAAGAAGCAGGCUCCGAGUGGGGAAAAGGCUGUGCAAACGGCUCCAGCUCUGCGGCCCCAGGGCUGCCGGCUCCCCCUCACCACAGGGAUGUCACCCACUGGGUGCCCUGGGUUGGUGACAUGGUCGGGGUGUUGGGGCUGGGGGUGAGUGUGGAGGUGGAUGCUGAAGGGGGUGGGGAGGGGAUGCUGAGAUGGCUGCUGGCCCUGCAGGUCCUUCGCAAAGCCCUUGAUGGCCGUGGAUUGUGUGUGGACACGGCGACCGCUGCUUAAAUAGAGCCGUGAGGGCACGCGUGUCCCAGCUCCAGCACUCCGCUCCUCCCCAGCCAGCUUUCCUGCUCCCUCCUCAGGCAAACUCAGCAGCUGGUGACCACUAUUUACUGGUCACUAGAGGCUGCUCCUUACCCAAGAGCACCUUAAUGGGUGAUUUUAACUGGGACGUCACUGUGCCAGCCGGGAAGGGGUCAGCCCAGGCCACGAAGGGAGGCAGGAGGUGGCUGAGCUGCUGCAUGGAGGGCAGGCAGGAAUGUGGGGCAGGUCUACCACCAUGGUGCCCAUCUAGGGCACACCAGCUCCUCUCACCCUGCCUCCAUCCCCUCCGUGCUGUCUUUGCUGGCUGGGAUCCUCACAGAGCCAGGUGCCUCCAGGGAAAGGACCGCAAGGGAGGAGGACCCGCAGCUCAACGGUCCUGUCUCAGGUGGCUUUCAAGGACAGAGUGGCUGGUGAGAACAAUCAGAGUGGGCUGAGCCCACCUUGCAAAACCCUCCUGCAGUGGUCCUUCAGCCUGAGAAGGCAGUUGAGGCACUACCAUGUGAGGCACUACCAUGUGAGGCACUUCCCUUGUCUGUGCCUCAGUUUCCCCAUGCUGCGGGUGGGGGACACAGCCCCGUGCCUCCACCUUCCCGCAGCAUCCCCUGGGCACUGCUGCCAUACCUGUGGCCCCCAGCCCCAGCCCCUGUGCCGAGGCCCCCACUGCUCUUCUCCCCGGUGUGGCCCUGGCCGGCGCGAGCCAGAGCUGUGUUCUCUCCUUACAUUAAUAAAAAUUUUACAGCACGGUGGCAGGAAAUGCAUUUUGAGUUCAUCUGCUGCAGCUAUUAGAUUACCAGGAAAUGGCUGGCUGGCCGGCGGCCAGAGCCUCCGAAGGGCCGGCGCACGCCUGGCGCAGAGCGGAGGGAGAAGUUUCUCCUAUUCUUCGCUGGCUCUGCCUUACGCCGAGCAGAGGAGUCACCAGCCAAAAAAGUGAAUGCGGGGGUGAUGCUGCUUAGCUACAGCCAAAUCCCAGGCAACAUGUGACCAGAUUGGCAAUUUAAUACCAAGCCUUUCUCCCCUGCGCUCGCGUGCACUCAAGUUAAAGUGACAUUGAAAUGGGAACUCAAAGUGCUGAAGGCAAAGAGAUUGUGGGGAGCUGCCUCCCUUCCCUCUGCCUCCAUCCGUGGGGAAUGAGUUUUGCUCAGUGGGGCAGGGGAAGGCUUGGUCUGGAGUGGGAAGAGAGGUACUUGGGCAUGGGAGGAUGCUCAGGUCAGGCACCUGGGCUUGGACAAGAGGUGGAAGAUCUGCUGUUGAGUGCAUGGGCCAGCUGGUCUGUGGAGAGCUGAGCACAUCUGGGCUCAUCAUCUGCAGGAGGGAUACCUGAUACAAGUGGUAGAGCUUGGUCUGGGACCUCUAGAAAGCCCGAAGAAGAUCUGGAAUAGUAGCUGGUGACUGCUCCUAGAAAAGAUCACCGUGGUGGAGAAGCAUCACUGUGAGCGUGAAGGCAUAGGAGCCAGGGAGAGAGUUGACCCUGAGGACUUGGGGACAGAAGAGACGGCUGUGGGAGCAUCACGUCCCCAUCAAGGCAGCAGUUGAAUGUGCCACAUAGACACAGGUUGGAUGAAACCACAUGUUCUGUGAAUGCAGGGUCAGACCUGACAAGAGGAACUGGUGCUCCAUGGGCUUUUUGGGGACAUUCAGGGUCCAGAGGGUGCAAACCCUUUGGUACUUGGUGGGUGUAGCAAUGGGUUUUGGGCUGGAAAACACACAUCACCCACCCAUGGCACCCUGCACAGAGCUACCGCUUUGGCUCACCAAGCCAGCCUGCUCCUAAUGAGAAUGAGAAGCCUUCAGCUCUGCACCCUUCAUCUGCGGAUGGAAGGGUCCCAGGCAGCUGGCUGGCUGGUGCGGUGUGAGGCACCCAACUCCCAGAGCUUGUACCUCAGGCAGAAUGUGUGCACAGGCAUCUGCCAGUGCUUCCAGGGAGCUGGAGUUGACAGUUUCCUGGUGAGGAAAUGCUUGUGUUGACAGACCCCCCAAUAUCUCUACAACCAACGCACCGUCUGGCUUUCCCUGUCCUGCUUGGGUUCCCAAGGGGCUCAUGGCCGUGGUCGCUGUGUCGCACAUUUUGAGUGGCACUUGCUGCUUUAAUUGUGUCUUCGCUCUGGUUUCUCUGCUGGGAGGGCAACGUAGAUUUGGGUAGGGGACCUCGCGGGGACAAACGUGUUUUCUGUAGAAGAAAACCUGCUGUGGAAGCACAGGGAGCUCAUUGAUGUACUGGGGUGCCCUGAACUUUGCCCAACACUUGGCAUUUGCUAUACACAAUGGGGCAUGGGGAAAAAAAAUAAAUAAA